GCUUUACUCCACCUUGGAAAUCUGAGCAAAUUCCCAUGGGCCAACUUCAGCGCCCGCCCAGAGUAUCCUGGGAAAUGUAGUUCCAGCUGAACCGUGGCCAACAGCAAACCCACCACAGGGACGGGCUUCUCGAGGCUCCCAGCUGGGCAUUCUGUCCUUGGCACAGCUCUCCUCCUGGGGCCUCCAGAGGGAGCAGUCAGCCCUGGGCGCUGGCAUUUCAGGAGCAGCAGAAGCCAGGCUGAACCAGCGGGUUUUGCGGAAACGCAUGAGGUCUUGAGAACAGAACGAGGGGCCCAGAGACAACCUGUAUGUGGACAAACCCUGGAGAGCAGAAAUGGAAGAAGAACAGGAAAAACACUCUCCAGCUAAUGCAAGCACAUUUACAGAGAAGCCCAGUGCAGUCCUGUUCAGAAGGGAGAUCUGUGCUCACCGCUCUGUGACAGUCCUGGGGCAUGUGGCCAAUGCGAUAAAACUGCAAGAAGAAACGCAUGAUGUGAAGAUGGAUUAGGAGAGAGAAACCCUCACUAUGUGCAAAGACAAUCAUCUACAUUAAAAAAAAUUUGGUGAAAUUACUAAAUUAUUAAAACUGAUAAGAAAUCUCCAUUUGGCAACUCCUGAUCAAUGGAGAAUCAAUGGCUGAGGCAACAAUCGCCAGUGAAUGCUGAAC
rnacentral:lncRNA from 1 species